UACGGGGGGGGCAAGCGUUGUUCGGAAUUACUGGGCGUAAAGCGUGCGCAGGCGGUUAUGUAAGACAGUUGUGAAAUCCCCGGGCUUAACCUGGGAAUGGCGUUUGGGACUGGAAGUCUGGAGUGCGGCAGAGGAGACUGGAAUUCCUGGUGUAGCAGUGAAAUGCGUAGAUAUCAGGAGGAACACCGAUGGCGAAGGCAGGUCUCUGGGCUGACACUGACGCUCAUGCACGAAAGCGUGGGGAGCAAACAGG
rnacentral:rRNA from 1 species